rnacentral:rRNA from 1 species
GCUUAACGCGAAGAACCUUACCUGGCCUUGACAUGUCUGGAAUCCCGAAGAGAUUUGGGAGUGCCGCAAGGAACCAGAACACAGGUGCUGCAUGGCUGUCGUCAGCUCGUGUCGUGAGAUGUUGGGUUAAGUCCCGCAACGAGCGCAACCCUUGUCCUUAGUUGCCAUCAUUAAGUUGGGAACUCUAAGGAGACCGCCGGUGACAAACCGGAGGAAGGUGGGGAUGACGUCAAGUCAUCAUGGCCUUUAUGGCCAGGGCUACACACGUGCUACAAUGGCAGGUACAGAGGGAAGCCAACCGGCGACGGGGAGCUAAUCCCAGAAAGCCUGUCUUAGUCCGGAUUGCAGUCUGCACCUCGACUGCAUGAAGUUGGAAUCGCUAGUAAUCGCAGAUCAGCAUUGCUGCGGUGAAUACGUUCCCGGGUCUUGUACACACCG